rnacentral:rRNA from 1 species
ACGGAAGGCAGCAGUGGGGAAUAUUGGGCAAUGGGCGAAAGCCUGACCCAGCAACGCCGCGUGAAGGGAGAAGGCCUUCGGGUUGUAAACUUCUUUUACCAGGGACGAAGGACGUGACGGUACCUGGAGAAAAAGCCACGGCUAACUACGUGCCAGCAGCCGCGGUAAUACGUAGGUGGCAAGCGUUGUCCGGAUUUACUGGGUGUAAAGGGCGUGUAGGCGGAACUGUAAGUCAGAUGUGAAAUCCCGGGGCUCAACCCCGGAACUGCAUUUGAAACUGCAGUCCUUGAGUAUCGGAGAGGCAAGCGGAAUUCCUAGUGUAGCGGUGAAAUGCGUAGAUAUCAGGCGGAACACCGGUGGCGAAGGCGGCUUGCUGGACAGUAACUGACGUUGAGGCACGAAAGCGUGGGGAGCAAACAGGAUAGAUACCCUGGUA